CGCUCUUCCAUCCAAAUCUCAGGCCUCUCUCGACAGGCCACCGCCAUCUCCUACCGGAUCAUCUCUCGCUCCUCUACUCCCUCAAACCCUAAUUUCUUUAAAAUGCCCACCACCACCACCACCACCACCACCACACCACCACCAUACUCCUCCUCUUACUCCUCACUUCCACGACCUCAGCUCCAAUCCCAGGCCUAGACACCUUCCUUUCUCAGCAAUCGCACGUAGACCCAAAAUCUACCAACGACUCCUUCCAAUCUGUACCUUCCUCGCUCAAAAAAUCUCUCUUUCUUUCCUCUCCUCAUCCUCACAUCCCUUCCCUCAUCUCCUCCCUUCUCUCCAUCUCACUCCCG
rnacentral:misc_RNA from 1 species